AUUGAACGCUGGCGGCAGGCCUAACACAUGCAAGUCGAACGAGUGGCGGACGGGUGAGAAAUGUCUGGGAAACUGCCCGAUGGAGGGGAAUACUUCCGGAAAACGGUGGUUAUAACGGAAAACCAUGGGAUUGUCCCGUAUGGGAUUAGCUAGUAGGUGGGGUAACGGCUCACCUAGGCCACGAUCCCUAGCUGGUCUGAGAGGAUGACCAGCCAAACGGGAACUGAGACACGGUCCAGACUCCUACGGGAGGCAGCAGUGGGGAAUAUUGCACAAUGGGCGCAAGCCUGAUGCAGCCAUGCCGCGUGUAUGAAGAAGGCCUUCGGGUUGUAAAGUACUUUCAGCGAGGAGGCGUUACUCGCAGAAGAAGCACCGGCUAACUCCGUGCCAGCAGCCGCGGUAAUAC
rnacentral:rRNA from 1 species